rnacentral:rRNA from 1 species
GACGAACCCUGGCGGCGUGCUUAACACAUGCAAGUCGAACGGAAAGGCCCUGCUUUUGUGGGGUGCUCGAGUGGCGAACGGGUGAGUAACACGUGAGUAACCUGCCCUUGACUUUGGGAUAACUUCAGGAAACUGGGGCUAAUACCGGAUAGGAGCUCCUGCUGCAUGGUGGGGGUUGGAAAGUUUCGGCGGUUGGGGAUGGACUCGCGGCUUAUCAGCUUGUUGGUGGGGUAGCGGCUUACCAAGGCUUUGACGGGUAGCCGGCCUGAGAGGGUGACCGGCCACAUUGGGACUGAGAUACGGCCCAGACUCCUACGGGAGGCAGCAGUGGGGAAUAUUGCACAAUGGGCGGAAGCCUGAUGCAGCAACGCCGCGUGCGGGAUGACGGCCUUCGGGUUGUAAACCGCUUUCGCCUGUGACGAAGCGUGAGUGACGGUAAUGGGUAAAGAAGCACCGGCUAACUACGUG